CUCCCCCCCCCGGGUACUCCCGUUUCCUCUUGUAGUCCAAAGACAUGUAUGAUCAGAUAAGUUUUAUUAGCCACACGACCAAGGCUGGUGGAAUGUGUUUUCGGUACAUGUUAAAACUCUGCAGCACAAUACAUACAUGGGUAACAGCAAACACUCCACAUAUUAUCACUAACAAUACAGUUACACAAUAGCAGAAAUCUAUUACGCACAACAAUCAGCAGAAUGAUAGUAUGCAUGCCAACGGUGUGUGAGGAGGGGGCUGUAGGGAGGAGUUCAGAGUCCUGAUAGGAACUUUUUUUUUGUUGAAGCAUUUAGUCUUCUUCCCUCCCUGAGGGAAGGAGCUGGAAGAGGCGAUGAGCAGGAUGUGAGGGAGAUGAUCUUCUUAGCUUGCUGUACAGUUCGGAGCACUUCCUUUUCCUAUACAACUCUGAGGUUGCGUGGUGGCAGGAGGAGGGUAUUUCAUUAAAGGAAGAGGUCACACCUCCAGCUCUCAGGCUUACACACACCUAGAGAGCAGUGGGCUGAAGCAGGGGCCUGCUAAGCCAUUUGAAAAAUCUGAGCAGAAUAAAAAAUGUUUGGCCACUGGGAUGGGUGCCCACCCAGUAGCACUGGCCAGGAAGAGAGGGAGACAAGGAGAGGAGCCGAUGGAAAGACUUCAAGUGUAAUUUUUGGUGGUUUUACCCGGCUUGUGUUCUGUGCCCUAAGCGUUGUGCCCACAUGCAGAAAGAAGAAGCGUUGCUUUGGUCUUGACUUCAUGUUUUUCCCUGAUGUUUUGCCCAUAGACCAGAGAGCAUC